GAACGGGUGAGUAACACGUGGGUAACCUGCCCAUCAGAAGGGGAUAACACUUGGAAACAGGUGCUAAUACCGUAUAACAAUCGAAACCGCAUGGUUUUGAUUUGAAAGGCGCUUUCGGGUGUCGCUGAUGGAUGGACCCGCGGUGCAUUAGCUAGUUGGUGAGGUAACGGCUCACCAAGGCCACGAUGCAUAGCCGACCUGAGAGGGUGAUCGGCCACAUUGGGACUGAGACACGGCCCAAACUCCUACGGGAGGCAGCAGUAGGGAAUCUUCGGCAAUGGACGAAAGUCUGACCGAGCAACGCCGCGUGAGUGAAGAAGGUUUUCGGAUCGUAAAACUCUGUUGUUAGAGAAGAACAAGGAUGAGAGUAACUGUUCAUCCCUUGACGGUAUCUAACCAGAAAGCCACGGCUAACUACGUGCCAGCAGCCGCGGUAAUACGUAGGUGGCAAGCGUUGUCCGGAUUUAUUGGGCGUAAAGCGAGCGCAGGCGGUUUCUUAAGUCUGAUGUGAAA
rnacentral:rRNA from 1 species